rnacentral:rRNA from 1 species
GAUGAACGCUGGCGGCGUGCCUAACACAUGCAAGUCGAGCGAACGGACGAGAAGCUUGCUUCUCUGACGUUAGCGGAGGACGGGUGAGUAACACGUGGAUAACCCACCUAUAAGACUGGUAUAACUUCGGGACACCGGAGCUAACCCCGGAUAAUAUUUUGCACCGCAUGGUUCAAAAGUGAAAGACGGUCUUGCUGUCACUUAUAGAUGGAUCCGCGCUGCAUUAUCUAGUUGGUAAGGUAAAGGCUUACCAAGGCUACGAGGCGUAGCCGACGUGAUAGGGGGAUCGGCCGCACGAGAAGGGAGACACGGACAUGGGUACUACGGGAGGCAGCAGUAGGGAAUGUGACGCAGUAGGCGAAAGCCUGACGGAACAGCGGCACGUGAGUGGUGAAGAUCUUGCGAUCGUAAAACUCUGUUAUUAGGUGAGAACAGAUGUGGAAGGAACUGAGGACAGCUUGACGGUACCUAAUCAGAAAGCCACGGCUAACUACGUG